rnacentral:lncRNA from 1 species
CUAUGUCCAUGUUCUGGUUCCGUGGCAGCGAUGAAUCUCCAAUGGCUUGGGACUGACGUGUUGGUCGUUUGUUCAUUUUUUGUUCUUUGAACGUUGUGCUCCAUUUCUAUCUAUCAAUUGACAUGCAGUCCUCCUUUAAGUAUGUCACUAUGCUUUUAGAACGGAUAAAAAGAAUUAAUGCAAGGGAAUAAAACUUCAAACGGUAACAACAUUGGUCAGAAAAAUAACUCAAUUCAAGAAAAGGUUACAACUGAUAGCAUGCUCGAUGUCUAUAGGGCAGCCAGUAUCAUACAAUUCACGAGGCUCAGCUAGAAAUGGGCUGAAAAAGAAUACGAACCCGGGGACUGAAAUUUUCACCCAUCUGAAUCGAGGCGUCAACUCACGUUAUUCACCCUAACCUACGAUCAGAAUAUCACUUCCAUAAGCACAUACGUUUCUAUGAACAUACAGACUCAUUGAUUUACGGAAACAACAUGAAGGCAAGUGGAACUCCAACAAUUUAAUUAUAGUGCCAAGUCAUCCUCGGCUCACAUCAUGUAAGCAGUUUUCUGUGUACGAACUAUUUGAAUUGUGUAACUUCCCCACCAAUAUGUGCCCAAAAACUGUUAACAAGGGGCAAGGUCGUAAACAGAAACGAUCAUUACUGUGAUUUUUACACAUAACCUUAACAUCUAUGUAUUCUAAGGAAGUACCAUUACCAUCAGGACGGUUUGUUCAGCUAACUGAAGCUUACUUUGUAGGAGUAUAAUGGUAAAAACAUCAACAUAUAUUUGCUACAAGGCUAGGUAGCAUCGUUAAAAACAAACAAAAAGGCUGAAAACUGGCUCUCCAGUGUCAUAGUACCUGUGCAGAUUGCAUAACUGAGCAGCUUUGAACUAGAGAUUCGUCACUGAUGCAUCAUGCCCUGAAAUCAAUCCCAGUGCCGUACAGAACCUGCGACCAUGGAACACAAAGCUGCAGGUAAGCCACUCUCGAGCACUAGAAGGUCCUAUAACACGAAUGAUCCCGGGGAGAAACUCCGGACUCGUCAAUUUCGUCGAACACCUACCGCGCCCUCGUGAGAGCAGACGACUUCGCCUGCGUGAAUCACGCGUCCGAGGCCAGGGCAAUGGCAGCCCACGCUUCGGCGCGUUCCAUCCAGUGCAGGACCGGGCCGCGCAGGAUCACCCGCGAGAGCGAGCGGCUGCACCGCACGGCUCGGUGGCGCGGAAGGCACGCGUGAAUCGGACGCCGAUCCCGCAGCCGCGGCGGUGGUGGGCGCGAGAGGAGUCGGGGAACGCGUCGAUCGGGGUGGGCGCGGAUAGGAGCCCAGCGGGGUAAUCGGUGAGGAUGAGAAGGUGCCGUCCGAUCGGCGAGGGAGGCGGCGGAGGGGGUGGCGCCGCCGCCGCCGCCGCGGUGGAGUGCGAGGGACACUGCGCGGCGCGGCGUGUGUGCUUUGGCAGUUUGGGGUCUCGCUAGCGGGCAGCGGCGGGAAGAGCGCCUCGCCUCGGUCUGACCAACGCGAGGUGUCCCUGG